GCGCUGCGGACCCAGAAGCGGGAAGGCGGCGGCUGCCCGGCAGAUCCCGGGCUCCGGUACAACCUCCCCCCCGCCCCAGCCCCGCACAACGGCAGGCUUACGCGGACCCGGGGCUCAAGGGGUCCCGAGGCUCCCCGCUGACCGUGCCCUCCCUCCCGCUCCUCCCACGCGGCCCCACCGGGGCGCCCCGCUGCCCUUCACCCGCCCGGGGCCGCCCUGAGGCGCCUUACCCGCGUGAGGGGCGCGAGCGGCGGGGCCGGCUCCGGGCUGGCCGAGAAAGGGCGCGAAGCAGCAGGUGCCGCUCGGAAGGUGCGGAGAGCCUCGGCAGCAAAUCAGCGAACCGCGGCGGCAGCGAUGUCGAGCGGGGGGACGACAGCGUGAAGUUCUGAUGUUGCACAUCUGAAACUGCAGAUCCACAGUUUUUGAUGACGACUGGUCCACCACUGCGCUGCACCUGGUGUUCCUGAG